UGAGGAACAUGACCUUCGGCGGGGGAUAGCCGGCCCAACGGCCGGGUAAUACCGCGUACGACCACAUGGGGACAUCCCUGAGUGGUGAAAGCAGCAAUGCGCCCGAUGGAGUGCCUCGCGGCCUAUCAGCUAGUUGAUGGGGUAACGGCUCACCAAGGCGACGACGGGUAGCUGGUCUGAGAGGAUGAUCGGCCACAUUGGAACUGAGACACGGUCCAGACUNUACGGGAG
rnacentral:rRNA from 1 species